UACAGAGGGCGCGAGCGUUGUCCGGAAUCACUGGGCGUAAAGGGCGCGUAGGUGGCCACUAUAAGGCCGCGGUGAAAGUUCGGGGCUCAACCCUGAAUCUGCCGCGGCGACUGUAGGGCUAGGGCACCGUAGAGGCAGAUGGAAUUCCGGGUGUAGCGGUGGAAUGCGUAGAGAUCCGGAAGAACACCGGUGGCGAAGGCGGCUUGCUGGGCAGUUUUGCUGACACUGAGGCGCGACAGCGUGGGGAACAAACAGG
rnacentral:rRNA from 1 species